rnacentral:rRNA from 1 species
CCCUUAGAUGUUCUGGGCCGCACGCGCGCUACACUGAUGCAUUCAACGAGUCUAAAACCUGCUCUGAUAGGGGUGGGUAAUCUUUUGAAUGUGCAUCGUGAUUGGGAUAGAUGAUUGCAAUUUUUCAUCUUCAACGAGGAAUGCCUAGUAAACGCAAGUCAUCAGUUUGCAUUGAUUACGUCCCUGCCCUUUGUACACACCGCCCGUCGCUCCUACCGAUUGAAUGAUCCGAUGAAUAUCAUGGAUUGAGGAUGCAAGUAGGUUAGCCUAUCUUCAUCUUCGAGAAGUGAAGUAAAUCUUAUCAUUUAGAGGAAGGAGAAGUCGUAACA